rnacentral:tRNA from 1 species
GGAGAGUUGGCCGAGUCAGGUUGAAGGCGCCAGAUUCGAAAUCUGGUGUACCGGGCGACCGGUACCGGGGGUUCGAAUCCCUCACUCUCCGCCA